rnacentral:SRP_RNA from 1 species
GCUCAGAAAAAUUAAGUGGCGUACUCCUGUAGUCCCGACUACUUGGGAGGCUGAGGCAGGAGGAUCACUUGAGCUCAGAGUGCUCAUGCUCAUUGGCGUCUGCACUGAGUGCAGCAUCAAUAUGGUGACCUCUCGGGGGCAAGGGACCACCAGGUUGCCUAAGGAGGAGUGAAAUGGUCCAGGUUGGAAACGGCUCAGGUAAAAACUCCCAUGCUGAUUAGUGGUGGGAUUGUGCCUGUGUGUAGCCACUACGCUACCGCUUGGGCAACGUAGCGAGACCUCAUCUCU